rnacentral:rRNA from 1 species
UACGGAGGAUCCGAGCGUUAUCCGGAAUUAUUGGGUUUAAAGGGUGCGUAGGCGGCCAUUUAAGUCAGCGGUGAAAUUUUGCAGCUUAACUGUAACAGUGCCGUUGAUACUGUUUGGCUAGGAUUUGGUUGUAGUGUGCGGAAUGUGUGGUGUAGCGGUGAAAUGCUUAGAUAUUACACAGAACACCGAUUGCGAAGGCAGCUUGCUGGGCCAUUACUGACGCUGAUGCACGAAAGCGUGGGGAGCGAACAGGAUUAGAUA